rnacentral:rRNA from 1 species
GACGAACGCUGGCGGCGUGCUUAACACAUGCAAGUCGAACGAAUUGGCGAACGGGUGAGUAUCACGCGAGUAACCUGCCCUCCACUUUGGGAUAACUUCGCUAAUUCGGGCCUUAUAUAGGAUAGCUGGGCAUGGGCUCGCGGGCUAUCAGUUUGUUGGUGGGGUAGUGGCUCAACAAGGCGAUGACGGGUAGCCGGCCUGAGAGGGCGACCGGCCACACUGGAACUGAGACACGGCCCAGACUCCUACGGGAGGCAGCAGUGGGGAAUAUUGCACAAUGGGCGAAAGCCUGAUGCAGCAACGCCGCGUGUGUGAAGAAGGUUUUCGGAUCGUAAAACUCUGUUGUUGGAGAGGCGGUAUCUGAAGAGAAAGCCCCGGCUAACUACGUGCCAGCAGCCGCGGUAAUUC